rnacentral:rRNA from 1 species
GAGUUUGAUCAUGGCUCAGGAUGAACGCUAGCGGCAGGCUUAACACAUGCAAGUCGAGGGGUAGAGUUAGCUUGCUAACUUGAGACCGGCGCACGGGUGCGUAACGCGUAUGCAAUCUACCUUGUACAGGGGGAUAGCCCAGAGAAAUUUGGAUUAAUACCCCAUAGUGUUAUGAUGUGGCAUCACAUUAUAACUAAAGUUCCAACGGUACAAGAUGAGCAUGCGUCCCAUUAGCUAGUUGGUGUGGUAACGGCAUACCAAGGCAACGAUGGGUAGGGGUCCUGAGAGGGAGAUCCCCCACACUGGUACUGAGACACGGACCAGACUCCUACGGGAGGCAGCAGUGAGGAAUAUUGGUCAAUGGGCGCAAGCCUGAACCAGCCAUGCCGCGUGCAGGAUGACGGUCCUAUGGAUUGUAAACUGCUUUUGUACAGGAAGAAACACUCCCCUCGUGAGGGAGCUUGACGGUACUGUAAGAAUAAGGAUCGGCUAACUCCGUG